rnacentral:rRNA from 1 species
GCGUUAAUCGGAAUUACUGGGCGUAAAGCGUGCGCAGGCGGUGAUGUAAGACAGAUGUGAAAUCCCCGGGCUCAACCUGGGAACUGCAUUUGUGACUGCAUCGCUAGAGGACGGCAGAGGGGGAUGGAAUUCCGCGUGUAGCAGUGAAAUGCGUAGAUAUGCGGAGGAACACCGAUGGCGAAGGCAAUCCCCUGGGCCUGUACUGACGCUGAGGCACGAAAGCGUG